UCACAAUAGCCCAGAUAUGAAAGCAAUCGCAGUGUUUGCAAGUGGACAAAUGGAUACAGAAAAUGUAAUCUGUGUAUGCAAUAGAAUAUUAUUCAGCCAUAAGACACGACAUCCUGUGAUUUGUAACAACGUGAAUGGAACUGGACGUCAUUAUAUUAAGUUAAAUAAGCCAAGCAAAGAAAGGUUUAUGGGUGGAAGAAACUUACCUUGUCUAAGAGGAGACUUCAGACUGAAGAUUUUUGUGUUAAUGCUGAAAUGAGUUAAAACUGGGAGACUGUUGAGAAGCACUGGGUGAAGAUAGUGAAGAGCCCUGUGAUCCCAAGGAAAUGGCCUAAUCCAAGGAGAAGGAGGCUCCAGGUCAUGUGGACUCACGUGGGGCAUCCACUCUGCCCAUCCAGCAGCCACUCCCAGAAGCCUUCAGAAGGCAACGGUGCAGGUGGGCUGUGGAGAAAAUUCAAUGAGACCUGG